AAAAAAAUGGCGAGGCUGAGCAGCUCGCUGAGGAAGUGUCGGUUCAUUUCGUGCUCGCAACGCUGAUUUUUAGUUUUAAUUGAGAGCAAAGAAAAUUAUACGCGAUAUUAACAUUAUCCGGACCUCUCUCCAUCAGAUGUGCGUUUUCCGUGAUCAUUUUUAACAAAAGGACGCCAAACGUUUAGAAGCGCUUCGAACGCAAUUACUGAAGGCCAGUCCCAACGGAACAAAUUGCGUAAAUAAAAUUGUGUCGCAACAUCCUGAAGAUCUUCUACACAUGGAAAGGUUGCAGCCUCCAGUUCCGACCCCGUUUCUAAGUGACCUUCCGACCUCGAGAUUUCUCCCUGCCGCUUUCAGGAAAUAAUGAAAAAUAUUAUACCUCCGGCACGACGGGGAUUCGCUCAAAUGUUCUUUCAUCGGUGUCGAAUAUCGAAUAUACGGAAGGAACUACGAAAAGCUGGAUUUGGUCGAAGUAAAAGAGUUACUCCUCGAGUUGAUUAUUGUGCCGAAAACAAGCAUUCGGGUGAUAUGUUUGCUCCCGGCGAAGAUUAUGGUGGUGGAUCAGAUCAAGGAAUGACAGGUACAAAUUUAUCAGAGCUACAGCUGUUUUUCUCAAGGAAUUGCAACACUCUCGACACAACUCAUACUCCUCUGCGAUUUAAUAACAAACUACAGACGAAUAGAAUCGAAAGGUCCAGAUGGCUGCAAUUCCCUCGGCCGUUUCCUACAUGGAGAUAUUUCAACUGUGGAAGUUCAACGGAGUGUACAGUCGGAAGCAAAUACUAGGUUGGAUCAAAACGAGAGCGGCAUGAUAGAUUGUUGGAGAGGCAGUACGUUACUCGAAUAGAUAAGUUUCCUUGUUUCUCUAUAACGAAUUUGAUGGGACACCACAGGUACUGGAUAAUGACAUCCGUGUACGACUUUUUGUGUGUUUAAAGAAGAUGUUUACAAUUACGCUUCCUUGUCGCUGCUGAAUCUCCGUAUUGAAUAAACAAAGUAAAAAUCAAA